rnacentral:rRNA from 1 species
UCGAGUCUUUGAACGCAAGUUGCGCCCGAGGCCAAUCGGUCGAGGGCACGUCCGCCUGGGCGUCGAGCGUUGCGCCGCUCCGUGCCGAGCCCCCAUCCCCGCCGCAGUGGGGGUGCCGGGCGAGGCCCGGAUGCGCGGAGUGGCCCGUCGUGCCCGUCGGUGCG